rnacentral:rRNA from 1 species
UGGGGAAUAUUGCACAAUGGGCGAAAGCCUGAUGCAGCGACGCCGCGUGAGGGAUGACGGCCUUCGGGUUGUAAACCUCUUUCAGUAGGGAAGAAGCGAAAGUGACGGUACCUGCAGAAGAAGCGCCGGCUAACUACGUGCCAGCAGCCGCGGUAAUACGUAGGGCGCAAGCGUUAUCCGGAAUUAUUGGGCGUAAAGAGCUCGUAGGCGGUUUGUCGCGUCUGCCGUGAAAGUCCGGGGCUCAACUCCGGAUCUGCGGUGGGUACGGGCAGACUAGAGUGAUGUAGGGGAGACUGGAAUUCCUGGUGUAGCGGUGAAAUGCGCAGAUAUCAGGAGGAACACCGAUGGCGAAGGCAGGUCUCUGGGCAUUAACUGACGCUGAGGAGCGAAAGCAUGGGGAGCGAACAGGAUUAGAUACCCUGGUAGUCCAUGCCGUAAACGUUGGGCACUAGGUGUGGGGGACAUUCCACGUUUUCCGCGCCGUAGCUAACGCAUUAAG